rnacentral:rRNA from 1 species
GACAUAGGUGGCGAACGUUAUCCGGAAUUAUUGGGCGUAAAGGGGUGCGAUAGGUGGUUUAAUAAGUUACUUGGUGGGAAAUCGGGGCUCAACCUCGAUCGGAAGUCAGUAAUACUGUUGAACUAGAGGGUCGGAGAGGUUAAACGGAAGUGGUUCAUGGUAGGGGUAAAAUCCUCAAUAUGAAUUAGAACACCAAUUGGCGAAGGCAGUUAACUAUUCGACACCUGACAUUGAGGCACGAAGCGUGGGGAGCAAGACGG